rnacentral:rRNA from 1 species
AUUGAACGCUGGCGGCAUGCUUUACACAUGCAAGUCGAACGGCAGCGCGGGCUUCGGCCUGGCGGCGAGUGGCGAACGGGUGAGUAAUGCAUCGGAACGUGCCCAGUAGUGGGGGAUAGCCCGGCGAAAGCCGGAUUAAUACCGCAUACGACCUGAUGGUGAAAGCGGGGGGCCGAAAGGCCUCGCGCUAUUGGAGCGGCCGAUGUCGGAUUAGCUAGUUGGUGGGGUAAAGGCUUACCAAGGCGACGAUCCGUAGCUGGUCUGAGAGGACGACCAGCCACACUGGGACUGAGACACGGCCCAGACUCCUACGGGAGGCAGCAGUGGGGAAUUUUGGGCAAUGGGGGCAACCCUGAUCCAGCCAUGCCGCGUGCGGGAUGAAGGCCUUCGGGUUGUAAACCGCUUUUGUUCGGGAAGAAAUCCUCUGGGCUAAUACCCCGGGGUGAUGACGGUACCGGAAGAAUAAGCACCGGCUAACUACGUG